rnacentral:rRNA from 1 species
UACAGAGGUCUCAAGCGUUGUCCGGAAUCAUUGGGCGUAAAGCGCGCGUAGGCGGCCCGGUAAGUCCGUUGUGAAAGUCAAAGGCUCAACCUUUGAACGCCGAUGGAUACUGCCGGGCUAGAGUCCGGAAGAGGCGAGUGGAAUUCCUGGUGUAGCGGUGGAAUGCGCAGAUAUCAGGAGGAACACCAAUAGCGAAGGCAGCUCGCUGGGACGGUACUGACGCUGAGGCGCGAAAGCGUGGGGAGCGAACAGG